rnacentral:rRNA from 1 species
GGUUAUGGCCAUGCCACCCUGAACCAGCCCAAUGUCUGAUCUCGGAAGCUAAGUAGGGUCAGGCCUGGUUAGUACUUGGAUGGGAGACCACCUAGGAAGACCACGUGCUGUAGGCA